rfam:Polynucleobacter duraquae strain MWH-MoK4, complete genome.
GGGCCUAUAGCUCAGUUGGUUAGAGCAGAGGACUCAUAAUCCUUUGGUCCCAGGUUCAAGUCCUGGUGGGCCCA